rnacentral:rRNA from 1 species
AGAGUUUGAUCCUGGCUCAGAACGAACGCUGGCGGCAGGCUUAACACAUGCAAGUCGAACGCCCCGCAAGGGGAGUGGCAGACGGGUGAGUAACGCGUGGGAACGUACCUUUCGCUUCGGAAUAGUCCCGGGAAACUGGGUUUAAUACCGGAUACGCCGUAUUGGGAAAGAUUUAUCGGCGAAAGAUCGGCCCGCGUUGGAUUAGCUAGUUGGCGGUGUAAUGGACCACCAAGGCUACGAUCCAUAGCUGGUCUGAGAGGAUGAUCAGCCACACUGGGACUGAGACACGGCCCAGACUCCUACGGGAGGCAGCAGUGGGGAAUCUUGGACAAUGGGCGCAAGCCUGAUCCAGCCAUGCCGCGUGAGUGAAGAAGGCCUUAGGGUUGUAAAACUCUUUCGCCGGUGAAGAUAAUGACGGUAACCGGAGAAGAAGCCCCGGCUAACUUCGUGCCAGCCGCCGCGGUAAUAC